AUUAAAAGAUUUUUGAACUUUAUUGACACUUGAAUUACGACGUAUGAAGUCACGCCUGGGACGCACGCUAGUGCCGCACAAUCAAAGUCCAGCUGUGUUUGGGGAUUGUGCUGGGCUUCCUGUGUGAGUUAGCUCCAACCCUGAGGGCUUCUGUGUUGUGACUCAGAGCAUUGAAAAAGGAGAAGCAAGCCGAAAGCGGAGCCAUUAUGUGGGAGUUGUUGGAGACAGACUCUGAUUCAUCUCACCUGCUUUUACAGGGGUAAAGCUGCUGCUGAUUGGGCGAAAGGUGGGCAGGGGCCCUGUGCAGUGAAAUGGGCUGUACGUGAGCUUGUGACUUGGAUAAAUGGAGUGCGUCUGCAUCGACUGUGAGCCAGCGUGUCGUCCUUUGUAGGCCCGCACAAACGCCACACGACUUCCCCCUGCAGGCCCCCGGUUACUGGAUCUCAAGCAUUGAUUAAUUUCCACACGCCGGGGCUAUUUUUAGCCCGCAGAUUAUCAUGAAACAGUGCCCAAAUCAAAUCUGAAAAACCACCCCUGGGCCAGAGCGACAGGAUCAUUUGCAUAUUAAAAGACAUCAACCCCCAGGGAGAGAGAGGAAACAGCUCAGCCAUUUUCUGGAAAAAAAAUAAUGUCUUCUGAGAGUUAAAAAUAGUUUUAGUGAUCUCUUGACGGGCACUGUACCCUUGCGCGUGCUUUAAAUCGUCUGCCGUCAAAACUUCCAGCGAGAAUUACGUGAAAGUACGUCCAGCUCUCCUGCAGGAGACAUUGCUAAAAAUAAGGACACAUCGCUGUAAAUAAAUGAAGGAAUUAUU